rnacentral:rRNA from 12 species
UCUAAUACCGGAUAACACUCUGUCCCGCAUGGGACGGGGUUAAAAGCUCCGGCGGUGAAGGAUGAGCCCGCGGCCUAUCAGCUUGUUGGUGGGGUAAUGGCCUACCAAGGCGACGACGGG